rnacentral:rRNA from 1 species
AACGAACGCUGGCGGCAUGCCUAACACAUGCAAGUCGAACGAGACCUUCGGGUCUUGUGGCGCACGGGUGCGUAACGCGUGGGAACCUGCCCUUAGGUUCGGAAUACCUCCCCGAAAGGGGUGAUAAUACCGGAUAAUGUCUUCGGACCAAAGAUUUAUCGCAUUUGGAUGGGCCCGCGUUGGAUUAGCUAGUUGGUAGGGUAAAAGCCUACCAAGGGGACGAUCCAUAGCUGGGCUGAGAGGAUGAUCAGCCACACUGGGACUGAGACACGGCCCAGACUCCUACGGGAGGCAGCAGUGGGGAAUAUUGGACAAUGGGCGAAAGCCUGAUCCAGCAAGGCCGCGUGAGUGAUGAAGGCCUUAGGGUUGUAAAGCUCUUUUACCCGGGAUGAUAAUGACAGUACCGGGAGAAUAAGCCCCGGCUAACUCCGUG